GUGUCUGGCUCAUUUGCCCUUAGACUCUCCCGGGAUCACAGCCUCUCUGAGGUUUGCCUAGUCCUAUGCAGGUAAUGCCCACUGAGCUCAAUGGAUCUUACAGGAACACAUCAUGUUCGAAGAAGAAGUGACGAGGACCUAUGAGUCAAGAAAACAAGAACUUGGGUCCAUGUUUCUCUUGGGACGUGGACAUGUAGAAGACCUUGUCCAGAUAGGAUCUAUACAUCAAGUAGAGGGUCGUACUUCAUUGAGAGGCCAAAACAAUCUCACCUCGAAUCACGUCUUUUUGGUGGGGUUGGUGUCCAUGACAACGAGGGAGACUGGUGGUGAAAUACAUCACAGUGCACAACAAUAGGCCCAUUGCACCACAUGCGUCUGGCUCAUUUGCCCUUAGACUCUCCCAGGGAUCACAGCUUCUCUGAGGUUUGCCAAGUCCCAUGCAGGUGAGGCCUACUGAACUCAAUGGAUCUUACAACAAGGUAAGUAUAUGUUGGGUUGCUGCCAGGACUCUGUUCUUCGUGGGAAUCCGAAUUCCAUUGGCCAAGAAGGUAUGAUUCAGAUUUAAAUAACUUUGAGUUAAACCCAUCACAGCCUGCUUGCUUUUCCCAUCAUUUGACCAUAUAUGGUCACCACCAAAUGUCUCCUUCCUGAUCCUUCCCAACCACCUCCUUUCCUCUGUCACAAUGAAG